rnacentral:rRNA from 1 species
CCUACGGGUGGCAGCAGUGAGGAAUAUUGGUCAAUGGGCUUACGCCUGAACCAGCCAAGUCGCGUGAGGGAAGACUGCCCUAUGGGUUGUAAACCUCUUUUGUCAGGGAGCAACGCCGGCUACGUGUAGCCGGUCUUAUAGUACCUGAAGAAAAAGCAUCGGCUAACUCCGUGCCAGCAGCCGCGGUAAUACGGAGGAUGCGAGCGUUAUCCGGCUUUAUUGGGUUAAAGGGGUGCGUAGGCGGAAUGCCAAGUCAGCGGUAAAAUCGCGGGGCCCAACCUCGCUCCGCGGUUGAAACUGGCGUGCUUGAGUGGGCGGGAGGUAUGCGGAAUGCGUGGUGUAGCGGUGAAAUGCAUAGAUAUCACGAAGAACUCCGAUUGCGAAGGCAGCAUACCGGAGCGCAACUGACGCUGAAGCACGAAGGCGUGGGUAUCGAACAGGAUUAGAUACCCUGGUAGUC